GAUGAACGCUGGCGGCGUGCUUAACACAUGCAAGUCGAACGAUGAAGCCCAGCUUGCUGGGUGGAUUAGUGGCGAACGGGUGAGUAACACGUGAGUAACCUGCCCUUGACUCUGGGAUAAGCCUGGGAAACUGGGUCUAAUACUGGAUAUGACUUCUCAUCGCAUGGUGGGGGGUGGAAAGAUUUAUUGGUCUUGGAUGGACUCGCGGCCUAUCAGCUUGUUGGUGAGGUAAUGGCUCACCAAGGCGACGACGGGUAGCCGGCCUGAGAGGGUGACCGGCAACACUGGGACUGAGACACGGCCCAGACUCCUACGGGAGGCAGCAGUGGGGAAUAUUGCACAAUGGGCGCAAGCCUGAUGCAGCGACGCCGCGUGAGGGAUGACGGCCUUCGGGUUGUAAACCUCUUUCAGUAGGGAAGAAGCGAGAGUGACGGUACCUGCAGAAGAAGCGCCGGCUAACUACGUG
rnacentral:rRNA from 1 species